rnacentral:rRNA from 1 species
GACGAACGCUGGCGGCGUGCCUAAUACAUGCAAGUAGAACGCACAGUUUAUACCGUAGCUUGCUACACCAUAGACUGUGAGUUGCGAACGGGUGAGUAACGCGUAGGUAACCUGCCUGGUAGCGGGGGAUAACUAUUGGAAACGAUAGCUAAUACCGCAUAAUAUUAAUUAUUGCAUGAUAAUUAAUUGAAAGGUGCAAUUGCACCACUACCAGAUGGACCUGCGUUGUAUUAGCUAGUAGGUGAGGUAACGGCUCACCUAGGCGACGAUACAUAGCCGACCUGAGAGGGUGAUCGGCCACACUGGGACUGAGACACGGCCCAGACUCCUACGGGAGGCAGCAGUAGGGAAGCUUCGGCAAUGGACGAAAGUCUGACCGAGCAACGCCGCGUGAGUGAAGAAGGUUUUCGGAUCGUAAAGCUCUGUUGUAAGAGAAGAACGGGUGUGAGAGUGGAAAGUUCACACUGUGACGGUAUCUUACCAGAAAGGGACGGCUAACUACGUG